GACGAACGCUGGCGGCGUGCUUAACACAUGCAAGUCGAGCGGAAAGGCCCUGCACUUGUGGGGUGCUGAUGUGGCGAAAGGGGGAGUAUAACGCGAGUAACCUGUCCUUUACAGUGGGGUAACACCUGGGAACUGGGGCUAUUAUACCACAUGAACUCCUUCUACAUGGUGUCGGAGGGUAAAAGACGGCGUUUGGGGAUGCACUCGCGGUCUAUCGGCUUGUUGGUGAGGUGGUGGCGUACAAAGGCUCCGACGGGUAGCCGGCCUGAGAGGGUGACAGGCCCCAUUGGGACUCAGAUAGGGCCAAGAGUCAUACGGGAGGCAGCGGUGGGGAAUAUUGCACAAUGGGCGGAGGCAGGAUGCAGGAACGCCGCGUGCGAGAUGACGGCUGUCGGGGUGUAACCCGCUUUCGACUGUGAAGAAGCGUGAGUGACGGUAAUGGGUAAAGAAGCACCGGCUAACUACGUG
rnacentral:rRNA from 1 species